rnacentral:rRNA from 1 species
AUGGCGCAGCCGCAUCCGCAUCCGCAUCCGUCCUCGUCCUCGUCCUCCUCCGCGCCGCCGUCCUCCUCGCCGUGGGUCAUCUUAGGCAGCAUCCCGAGCGUCUCCGCACUGCCGGACGCCGGCGACGUCUCCGUCGCGCUGGCGGCGCCGCCGCGCGUCUCGAUCCUCACCGUCUCCCCGCGCGUCUUUCCGGACUUCCCUACGCCCCGCAACUUCCCCUUCGUCCUCGCCGCCGACCCCUCCGGCCUUCUCCUCCUCCAGGCCAACCUGCGCUGCGCCCCGACCCGUGAAGUCAUCAAUCGCCCCGACCACCAGGGAGUCACCUGGAAACUCACCGACUCUCGCUACUUCGUGCUCGACACCACCACCGGCUCGUCGUUCCAGCUCCCCGACCCUGAGGCCACCAUCAUGCACCAGGCCCUCCUCGGCCUUUUGGCCUCCCCCGGGGGCGGCGGCCACUACAUGGUCGCUGAGCUCCAGCCCAUCUUCGGCAGCGACGAAGCCACGCUCCUCUGCUUCUCCACGGAGGUAGGAGAGUGGGUCGAGAAGCGCGUCCACUACCCGCUCCCGCCACGCCCGCUGGCUCCCAUCUGCGUGGUCUCGCACCACGGGAGGCUCUGGUGGGUGGACCUCUCAUGGGGCGUCAUCACCUGCGACCCCUUCGCCGACGAGCCGGUCCUGGGCUUCGUUCCCUUCCCGCCGGGGAGGGUGCUCAGGUACAGGGAAGGUUGGGGAGUCACCGACAAGUUCCGUUACGUGGGGGUGAGCGGCGGCAAGCUGCGUUUCGUCGACAUGUACAUGCGUAAGCGUGCAGGCGCUCACACUCCCACGGUAAGCGUGUGGACGCUGGGCGAUCCAGACUCGAGGGAGUGGACGCUGGAGCAAGAGGCGAGCUUUACCGAGAUCUGGGGCGAUGAGAGCUACAAGGCGGCCGGGCUGCCGGAGAAGAUGCCCACGGUCGCGCUCAUUCACCCCAAGAACCCCGACGUGGUCUACUUCUUCCUCAAGGAGCACCUGUUUGGUGUUGACGUGCGUGCUCGCAAGGUGGUGGAGUGCCAGGUGUAUGGUCUUGUUGCGCCGCCGAGCAUCUGCUUGGCCAGCCGCUUCGUUCGGGCUUGGGAGCUGCCACGGGCGCUCUCCUCCUCAGGGGAGUGGUCUAAUGGCAUCAGCUUGGCUGAGAGCGCUAAUGCACGUCCAUACCAGCCAUCGGCAGGGGAUUAUCACUUGGUGGGGGGCUCCAGGAUAGCAUGCAAAGGAUGA